GUCCCUGUAGCGCAAUGGAUAGCUCGUUGGACUUCUAAUCCAAUGGUCGUGAGUUCGUAUCCCACCUGGGAUA
rnacentral:tRNA from 1 species